rnacentral:misc_RNA from 1 species
ACAAACUUGGUCAUUUAGAGGAAGUAAAAGUCGUAACAAGGUUUCCGUAGGUGAACCUGCGGAAGGAUCAUUAUUGAAUGAAUGUAGAGUUGGUUGUCGCUGGCCCUUUUCCAAGGGCAUGUGCACGCCUUCUCUUUCAUCCACACACACCUGUGCACUUGUGAGACGGAGGGCUUUAAUUAGCCUUCCGUCUACUUAAUUACACAAACUCAUUUAAUUUAAUUUGAAUGUAAUUGAUGUAACGCAUCAUUUGAACUAAGUUUCAACAACGGAUCUCUUGGCUCUCGCAUCGAUGAAGAACGCAGC